UAACACCAGCGCCACAAGUGGCAACCGCUUUUAUUUGGCCUAAAGCGUCCGUAGCCGGUUCAGUAAAUUUUCUGUGAAAUCGUUAGGCUUAACCUAACGUCGUGCAGGAAAGACUACUGGACUAGGGACCGGGAGGCGUCAGAGGUAUUCCUGAGGGAGCGGUAAAAUGCUAUAAUCUCAGGAGGACCACCGAUGGCGAAGGCAUCUGACGAGAACGGAUCAGACGGUCAGGGACGAAAGCUAGGGGAGCAAACCGGAUUAGAUACCCGAGUAGUCCUAGCUGUAAACUCUGCGAGCUAGGUGUUACGCAUUCUUCGGGAAUGCGUAGUGUCGAAGCGAAGGUGUUAAGCUCGCCGCCUGGGAAUUAUGGUCGCAAGACUG
rnacentral:rRNA from 1 species